rnacentral:rRNA from 1 species
UUAGAGUUUGAUCCUGGCUCAGGAUGAACUCUAGCGGCAGGCUUAACACAUGCAAGUCGAGGGGCAGCGAGAUCAGUGCUUGCACUGGUUGUCGGCGACCGGCGCACGGGUGCGUAACGCGUAUGCAACCUACCCAUUACAGGGGGAUAACACUGAGAAAUCGGUACUAAUACCCCAUAACAUCCAGGGAGGCAUCUUCUUGGGUUGAAAACUCCGGUGGUAAUGGAUGGGCAUGCGUUGUAUUAGUUAGUUGGUGGGGUAACGGCUCACCAAGACAACGAUACAUAGGGGGACUGAGAGGUUAACCCCCCACAUUGGUACUGAGACACGGACCAAACUCCUACGGGAGGCAGCAGUGAGGAAUAUUGGUCAAUGGACGCAAGUCUGAACCAGCCAUGCCGCGUGCAGGAAGACGGCUCUAUGAGUUGUAAACUGCUUUUGUACGAGGGUAAACGCAGAUACGCGUAUCUGUCUGAAAGUAUCGUACGAAUAAGGAUCGGCUAACUCCGUGCCAGCAGCCGCGGUAAUACGGAGGAUUCAAGCGUUAUCCGGAUUUAUUGGGUUUAAAGGGUGCGUAGGCGGUCGGAUAAGUUAGAGGUGAAAUCCCGGGGCUCAACUUCGGAAUUGCCUCUGAUACUGUUCGGCUAGAGGGUAGUUGCGGUAGGCGGAAUGUAUGGUGUAGCGGUGAAAUGCUUAGAGAUCAUACAGAACACCGAUUGCGAAGGCAGCUUACCAAGCUACUUCUGACGUUGAGGCACGAAAGCGUGGGGAGCAAACAGGAUUAGAUACCCUGGUAGUCCACGCAGUAAACGAUGAUAACUCGUUGUCGGCGAUACAGUGUCGGUGACUAAGCGAAAGCGAUAAGUUAUCCACCUGGGGAGUACGUUCGCAAGAAUGAAACUCAAAGGAAUUGACGGGGGCCCGCACAAGCGGAGGAACAUGUGGUUUAAUUCGAUGAUACGCGAGGAACCUUACCCGGGCUUGAAAGUUAGUGACGGAUCUUGAAAGAGGUCUUCCCUUCGGGGCACGAAACUAGGUGCUGCAUGGUUGUCGUCAGCUCGUGCCGUGAGGUGUCGGGUUAAGUCCCAUAACGAGCGCAACCCCUACCGUUAGUUGCCAGCAGGUCAAGCUGGGCACUCUGACGGGACUGCCGGUGUAAGCCGAGAGGAAGGUGGGGAUGACGUCAAAUCAGCACGGCCCUUACGUCCGGGGCUACACACGUGUUACAAUGGCAGGUACAGAGGGCAGCUACCCAGCGAUGGGAUGCGAAUCACGAAAGCCUGUCUCAGUUCGGAUUGGAGGCUGAAACCCGCCUCCAUGAAGUUGGAUUCGCUAGUAAUCGCGCAUCAGCCAUGGCGCGGUGAAUACGUUCCCGGGCCUUGCACACACCGCCCGUCA